UACGUAGGGGGCUAGCGUUGUCCGGAAUCAUUGGGCGUAAAGAGCGUGUAGGCGGCCCGGUAAGUCCGCUGUGAAAGUCGGGGGCUCAACCCUCGAAUGCCGGUGGAUACUGUCGGGCUAGAGUGCGGAAGAGGCGGGUGGAAUUCCUGGUGUAGCGGUGAAAUGCGCAGAUAUCAGGAGGAACACCGAUUGCGAAGGCAGCUCGCUGGGACGUAACUGACGCUGAGACGCGAAAGCGUGGGGAGCAAACAGG
rnacentral:rRNA from 1 species